UGAACGCUGGCGGCGUGCUUAACACAUGCAAGUCGAACGAAGCACCUUGCCCGAAGAAAUGGAGUGCUUGCACAAAAUUGAUUCAACUAAGGUGACUGAGUGGCGGACGGGUGAGUAACGCGUGGGUAACCUGCCCUAUACAGGGGGAUAACAGUUAGAAAUGACUGCUAAUACCGCAUAAGCGCACGACCUCGCAUGAGGAUGUGUGAAAAACUGAGGUGGUAUAGGAUGGACCCGCGUCUGAUUAGCUAGUUGGUGGGGUAGAGGGCCUACCCAAGGCGACGAUCAGUAGCCGGCCUGAGAGGGCGACCGGCCACAUUGGGACUGAGACACGGCCCAGACUCCUACGGGAGGCAGCAGUGGGGAAUAUUGCACAAUGGGCGAAAGCCUGAUGCAAGCGACGCCGCGUGAGCGAAGAAGUAUUUCGGUAUGUAAAGCUCUAUCAGCAGGGAAGAUAAUGACGGUACCUGACUAAGAAGCCCCGGCUAACUACGUGCCAGCCGCCGC
rnacentral:rRNA from 1 species